rnacentral:rRNA from 1 species
GAGGCCCAAACUAAUAGUAACCGGCGUAAAGCGUGGCAAUAUGUUAUCCAACUAACUAAGACCAAAAUACAACUAAGCUGUCAUAAGCCCAAGAUGCCCUUAGAACCUCCAUAAAUAUGAUCUUAGCAUCCACGACCUAUUUCAACCCACGAAAGCUAAGGCACAAACUGGGAUUAGAUAUUCCACUAUGCUUAGUCCUAAAUCCAGAUACUUACCCUACACAAGUAUCCGCCCGAGAACUAUGAGCACAAACGCUUAAAA